rnacentral:lncRNA from 1 species
UGCCAACAUAGGGUCUCCACUCCCUAGUUGAUGCCAAUAUAGGGUCACCACUCCCUAGUUGAUGCCAACAUAGGGUCUCCACUCCCUAUUUGAUGAUGCAAAUAUAGGGUCUCCACUCCCUAGUUGAUGCCAGCAUAACCUGAUGCCAACAUAGGAUCCCCACUCCCUAGUUGAUGCCAAUAUAGGGUCUCCACUCCGUAGUUAAUGCCAGCAUAACCUGAUUCCAGCAUAGGAUCUUCACUCCCUAGUUGAUGCUAAUAUAAGGUCUUCACUCCCUAGUUGAUGCCAGCAUAACCUAUUGCAAACAUAACUUGAUGCCAACAUAGGGUCCCCACUCCCUAGUUGAUGCCAAUAUAGGGUCUCCACUCCCUAGUUGAUGCCAUCAUAAGCUGACGCCAACAUAGGGUCUUCACUCCCUAGUUGAUGCCAAUAUAGGGUCUCCACUCCCUAGUUGAUGCCAGCUUAACCUGAUACCAACAUAGGGUCUCCACUCCCUAGU